CAGGAAGCCCCAUGCCGGACUGGAUCCUAAGAUCCUGAGAUCAUGACCUGAGCAGAAGACAGAGGCUUAACUGACUGAGCCACACAGAAAUCAAAAUAUUGCCAGAUUUCCUUGAACUCUGACAGUUGAGAGCUCAGGGGGACCCUCAGAGGAACGGAGUGCAGCUUAGGAAGGGAAGGAAUGACCACACUGCUCCACAAGCCUGCGCUCUGCAGUUAUCUCCUGGAGGCAGCUGGGGGACGUUUGGGGCACAAUUCUUUUGAAGACUACAAAACACAUGCUGAAGUCAGAUGCAUGGAAGGCUUCAAGCUCACAGUCCAAGAUGGCAGCACUACAUUCCAGAGGAGCAGAACAGGGAGAAGGAGAGAAAGCCGGAGUGAGAGGGCAUACAACCUGCUGUCUCCUGAGAAACACUCGUGAAAACUGCCGCAAGACACUUCCAUUCGCAUGCUCUUGACGAUGUCUGGUUGCAAGUUGGAAAUAAGAGUAUCCAUGGUGAAUGGUCACAGAUCUAAGAUCCUACCACCAUGGGAAUAACUAUGAGAGUUAACUAGCUAUCUCUGACAUUUAUCAUUUUAUUUAAUGUUUUAGUUUAGAAAGAGAGUGGAGAGAAAAAUAUGUCAAAAAAGUGAAGUAAAGCCACUUUGGGGUUGUAUAUCGUUAUCUUUUUAAUGCUGAAAAUUAGUAAGCUCCAACAACAUAAAAGAUUUAAAAU